AGGGAUGACGUCAGUCCUCAUGGCCCUUACGGGUUGGGCUACACACGUGCUACAAUGGUGGUGACAGUGGGCAGCGACCACGCGAGUGGAAGCGAAUCUCCAAAAGCCAUCUCAGUUCAGAUUGCACUCUGCAACUCGAGUGCAUGAAGUUGGAAUCGCUAGUAAUCGCGGAUCAGCACGCCGCGGUGAAUACGUUCCCGGGCCUUGUACACACCGCCCGUCACACCAUGGGAGUUGGUCUUACCCGACGGCGCUGCGCCAACCGCAAGGAGGCAGGCGACCACGGUAGGGUCAGCGACUGGGGUGAAGUCGUAACAAGGUAGCCGUAGGGGAACCUGCGGCUGGAUCACCUCCUUU
rnacentral:ncRNA from 1 species